rnacentral:tRNA from 2 species
GCUGAUAUAGCUCAGGUGGUAGAGCGCAUCCUUGGUAAGGAUGAGGUCCCAAGUUCGACUCUUGGUAUCAGCACCA